rnacentral:lncRNA from 1 species
CGGGUGUGGCUGAAAUAGCCAAAUCCACUAAUUUGAAGGUGUCCACAUACUUUAGUAUAUAUAGCAUAUAGCAUAUCUCCCUGUGUUUCAUAUUUUGUUCAGUGUCAGUCUGGCUUUGGUUUGUUCUGUCUUGUUGUCUUUGUGUUCAUCCUGAUUGUGCAUCUCCGUGUGCUAUACAAACCCUCCCCUUCUUUCUCCCCUUCUUUCAUCCCUCUUUCAUCCUGCCAUGCCAUCCACACCUCCUCUCUCCUAUAAAAUCCCUUAAUUCUCUUUCCUCAGUUGUCUCCUUCCCCCCAGCUCCCACUCCUUGGCCCUCCAUCUCCUAUCCCCCCAUCCCCUCAUUUGUGCCCGUAGUGUCCUUCUUCCCCCCCGAGGCCCCUGCCGCAGCUGUUUCAGAGGCCCCACCCAAGCCUGUGGGCACUGCCAGCCUCUCCCUUGCAUCUGCGCCCAGCACCCAAAUGAAAGCCCCGCCACACGGGCCUGACACUGCGUUGCUUCAGCCACCGCACCAGAUAAACAUUCAGCAGCACCUCAAGCUGCACAUUCACCCGCAGGGCAAAUCAUGGCGAGGAGGUGCAAAGGAGAAGAAAUAUGAAUUAACAGGAUUCUUUGGGAAUAGUGGAUACUAAGGUUGACCAGGGUGACGGUGGCCAUUUACAGCAUUUAACUUCACUAGAUUUUUUUGACAUUGCUGUUGUUGUUUAUAUUUGUUUUAAUUCCCUUUUUAAUUGAUCUCUAGUUUUUGUAUAAUUAUUCAUAUCUCUCUGUCCAUGCCAAACCGGUCCUACCUGACAUAUUUUUUUAAUAGUUUUCAUGCCAUGUCUGUAAUAUCACUAGAACUAAGAAAACACACAUUUAAGUCUUGCUAGGGCAUACCUUCUUUGUAGUUUAUAUUUUCUACAAAUGUAUCUUGAUUAUGUGUCUGUCUUAUUUCAUUUCGUAACCACCUGUCUUACUCCACUUACUGGAUAAGGUGAAUCAUGUUUUGAGAGUUUGUGUGCUACAAAUAUUUAAUGUGUUGAUUGAAUCAAUCCAGUUUUUGUCUGCAUAGUUUUAUAAACUCAAACUCAAACAAAUGUAUUUUGUAUGGGAAAGUUUUUUUUAAUUUUUUACUACCUGUGGCAAACACCUGUACAUUUUUGGACAGUUUUGAUGGAAUAAAAACAGACUGGAAAUACCAUCUGUGUGGCAAAAGUUUAUUUUAUGCAUGUAUU